GAUGUUUGCUGAGCAGAGCAGGAUUCUGUCCAGUGACUUCUUUUUCCCCAAUUAGGAGGCUGUGUUGGCAAGACAUGGAUUGUUCUUUACGCUUUCCCUAUCUUUUCAGCUUUUUCCAAGAGGCCUUGGUCUCUAUCCUGAGGCUUUCCUCAUCAGCACAUGACGGUGAGCUGAAAGAUUCCUAAAGUUCUGUUGUCUCUCAAAACAAAACAGAACAUUCCAACCAAAUUUAAACAGAUCCAUUUACAAUUUUAUUACAUAUCAGCUUUCCUGUGUGGCAUUUAUUUGAGGAAAGGCUCUCUCAGAUAUGAGGGAGUUGGUUUUAGAAAAUUAAAUCAGACAGACUAAAAUGACGAUCUGAUUCAUGAGAGGAAAGAAGAUACACUAUGUGAUAGAAGAGUUAUUUUUGGAGAACUUAUUUUCGUGACUCUGAAUGCCCAGAGGAGAAAACAUAUGGAUGGUAUUGCUAAUUUAGUACCAUGUCUGCUUCAGGCUCUAUGUGCAGUUUUCUACAGACUGGGCAGCCGACUCUUUGGUCUCCAUUUUUGAAUGGAGUGCUGCAAGAGAUGCUGUCUGACAUACGAAACAGUCAACUGAAAAUAAAGUAGCAGAGUUAACGUAGGCAGUUUUCUUCACUGUGGUUACAAGAUGGCAGGGCCUUCCAAAUUUGCACACUGUACAUUGAAGUGGAAGUGGAUGCUAGCUCUAAAAGCUCUGUGUGGGCGGCGUUGAGAGUGGGUAUUUUGAUUUGAAAAUUUUGUUAGUUGCCAUAGUAAUUGUCACAAUUAUGUGGUUUGUUCGAUCUUUGUGAUACUGAACACCUAUUAGCAGCACCCAGAAAGCGGUGUGUUUUAGUUUUUUUUCUUGUGCAUACUUACAGAGAGAAAAACAAUAAUGUGUGGUCAGAUUUUAAGAUGAAGUAAAAACAAUAAAAAAGUAUCACAUAUCUUUAUGUAAAGUGUGUUUAUUUUCUUAAUUAUUUUUUAGUCAGAUUUCUCUUCAGCAGAAAAGUCAUCAGGAAGUGAUUUUGUUUUUCUUUUUCCAAAACAAGGAGACCCAGAAACCAAGGUUACAAAGCUUUGUAAAAAGAAGAACAGGAAGCUCUCCUUUUGUUAUUAAUGUGUUGUGUCAGCAAUGAUGCUACUUAAGUUCAGGCUGAAAUUUAAGCUGAAUCAAAAGAGAGUGUGUGUUUCCACUCCCUUUGCAUUUGUGGUGCUCACCAUGGCCACUGAUUAUUUAGUCCUUGAUUG
rnacentral:lncRNA from 1 species